CCUACGGGUGGCAGCAGUGAGGAAUAUUGGUCAAUGGGCUUACGCCUGAACCAGCCAAGUCGCGUGAGGGAAGACUGCCCUCUGGGUUGUAAACCUCUUUUGUCAGGGAGCAACGCCGGCUACGUGUAGCCGGACUUUUAGUACCUAACGAAAAAGCAUCCGCUAACUCCGUGCCAGCCGCCGCGGUAGUACGGAGGUUGCGAGCGUUAUCCGGUUUUAUUGGGUUUAAAGGGUGUGUAGGCGGCAUGCCUAGUCAGCGGUAAAAUCGCGGGCCUAAACCUCGCUGUGCAGUUGAAACUGGCGUUCUUGAGUGCGCGCGAGGUAGGCGGAAUGUGUGGUGUAGCGGUGAAAUGCAUAGAUAUCACGAAGAACUCCGAUUGCGAAGGCAGCAUUCCGGCGUCCAACUGACGCUGAAGCACGAAAGCGUGGGUAUCGAACAGGAUUAGAUACCCUAGUAGUC
rnacentral:rRNA from 1 species